GGUUUUAUAGUGUAGUGGUGAUCACUCCGGAUUUUGAGGCCUCGUGCACAAAAUCUUCCGGCAACCCCGGUUCGAACCCGGGUAAGACCU